GACGAAUGCUGGCGGCGUGCUUAACACAUGCAAGUCGAGCGGAAAGGCCCUUCGGGGUACUCGAGCGGCGAACGGGUGAGUAACACGUGAGUAACCUGCCCCAGACUUUGGGAUAACCCUCGGAAACGGGGGCUAAUACCGGAUACGACACAGCUUCGCAUGGGGUCUGUGUGGAAAGUUUUUCGGUUUGGGAUGGGCUCGCGGCCUAUCAGCUUGUUGGUGGGGUGAUGGCCUACCAAGGCGACGACGGGUAGCCGGCCUGAGAGGGCGACCGGCCACACUGGGACUGAGACACGGCCCAGACUCCUACGGGAGGCAGCAGUGGGGAAUAUUGCACAAUGGGCGGAAGCCUGAUGCAGCGACGCCGCGUGAGGGAUGACGGCCUUCGGGUUGUAAACCUCUUUCAGCAGGGACGAAGCGUAAGUGACGGUACCUGCAGAAGAAGCGCCGGCCAACUACGUG
rnacentral:rRNA from 1 species